rnacentral:lncRNA from 1 species
UUAUGACUUACAACGUUCCUUUUCAGGGUCUUCUUGGUAUACAGUAAUCAAAAGUAGUCUACCAUUGCCUUCUUCCAGGGCUGCUCUGGGACUGUGCAGCUUGCCCAAGACAACACAGGCUGGCUUUUCUCCCAAGAAGCACAGUGGGAAAUCAAACUCCCAAUUUCUGGCUCUUCAGCUACAGCAAAUGAGUUUCAACUCACUGAUCUAUCGAGCCAUCUCAUUCUGCUUACUCAAGCAUAAACUCUUCUUUAACCACAGAGCAGUAAGUUCAGAAUCAAAGAGGCAAUUAAUACUGAAGCCAGCGCCUGACACUUAUGUAAGACACCUCUGCUAUGUUCCAUUAUCACAGUUUAUAGAGCAACCUGUGAACAAAGACAUUUGAAAGCCACAUCCAAACACUUUUUUCUCAAAAGAGUGAUGAUAUAGAGACAGCUGUUUGAAGAGUGGGAGGAAAAAAGAAGAAAAGUUCCAAGAGGUGAAGAA